rnacentral:lncRNA from 1 species
GGCCUGCUGCACCAUUUUUCCAAGAAAAUCACGUGGAUCCAUUUAAUCACCAUGCUUUUCUUUUCAUUUUAUUCACGUGCACCCUCUUUUUUUCUUUUUUUCCUUCCUUCCUUUUUUCCUUUUGUUUUUCUUUUUCCUUUUUUCUUCUUUUGUUUUUUUCUUUUUCUCUUUUAUUCUUUUUUCUCUUUUUUUCUCUUUUUUUUUUCUUUUUUCCUCUUCUUCCUUUUUUUUAUUUCUCUUUUUUUUUUCUUUUAAAAUUUUUUUGCUUUUUUUAUUCUUUCUUCGUUUUUUUUUGUAAUUACUUUCUUUUAAAAUUAAACAAAAUAUUAAAAUAAAACUAAGAACAACAAAAUAACAUAAAAUAAAAA